ACGAGUCCCUGAUGAUUCAUCAAGCACCGCACAGACCCUGGAGCUGCUCUGUCACCUUGACAACACAGCCCAUGGCAACAUGGCCUGUGUCGUGCGGGAGCCCAC